rnacentral:rRNA from 1 species
UCUGGUGACAAUAGCGGAGGGGCAACACCUGGCAACGACGAACAGGACGUUCUAGUGUCCGAAGGGGCACAGGAUGUGCCGAUUCCGAGGACCAUCCCGAACCCAGCAGUUAAGCCCUCCAGCGGUGAUGGUACUGCCGGGGUAACCCGGUGGGAGAGUAGUUAGUUGCCAGAA